rnacentral:rRNA from 1 species
CGGAGGAAAGUAGGGGAUCGAAAGACCUCAUGCUUUUGGAGCGGCCGAUGUCUGAUUAGCUAGUUGGUAAGGUAAUGGCUUACCAAGGCAACGAUCAGUAGUUGGUCUGAGAGGACGACCAGCCACACUGGGACUGAGACACGGCCCAGACUCCUACGGGAGGCAGCAGUGGGGAAUUUUGGACAAUGGGCGCAAGCCUGAUCCAGCAAUGCCGCGUGAGUGAAGAAGGCCUUCGGGUUGUAAAGCUCUUUCAGUUGAGAAGAAAAGAUUGUGACUAAUAAUUGCAAUUCAUGACGGUAUCAACAGAAGAAGCACCGGCUAACUACGUGCCAGCAGCCGCGGUAAUACGUAGGGUGCGAGCGUUAAUCGGAAUUACUGGGCGUAAAGGGUGCGCAGGCGGUUCUGUAAGUCAGAUGUGAAAUCCCCGGGCUUAACCUGGGAACUGCGUUUGAAACUACAAAGCUAGA